rnacentral:rRNA from 1 species
UUCGGUGGCAAUAGCGAGGAGGUCACACCCGAUCCCGUUCCGAUCUCGGAAGUUAAGUUCCUCAGCGCCGAUGGUACUGCCAGGGUGACCUGGUGGGAGAGUAGGUCGCCGCCGAAU